AGCCAAGGGAUCUGCCAGUGCCAUGAGACCGGGAACCCUGUGUCCUCGGGACAGUUGUCUCUUUCUCCAGGCCACUGCUGGCGGAGAAAAAGAAAAGCUCUUACAGCCUUUUGAUUGAAUGGACUGCCGUAGCCGAAACUCGCCCUCUGAACUUUCUCCAACAGUACGUGUUUCUGGCUGAAAUAAAGCUUUACAGGCGGCAGAGAACUUGCAAUGAGGAAUCUGGUGCUUUUCCACCCUUGUGUACGUGGUGAGUUGCUCUGGGGAAGUCAGACUGGGAUCCAAAGCACCUGCAGAAAAGCACAGCCAUCUUCUGGGACCAAGACUGCCCCUCUACACUUUGCCCCUCAAAAUGCCAUGUCGCUGUUGUCCCCUUCCUCCGUUUUGUAUCAGGUCCCUUUGCUGCUGCUGAGCUCUCUGUUACAGAGUCUGUUCACCAGUAACAUCCUUUUUGUCAGAUCAGUUCCAGCUUGCUGCAUUUUUUUUGCCUUUAAUCCAACCCUUCUGGAAAGAGCUAAAGCCUAUAUAUAGCCUUUAAAAUGCUUGUGUGAGGCAGAUGGAAAUUCAGGUCUUUUCCCUCUCAGCCACUAAAUUACUGAAUCAUUCUCUUGUGUCUUUCUCAGAGACAACAGUGAAUUAAAUACAGUUGAUGAAAAUACUACACGUUAAGUUAAUUAGGAGUUAAACUAGCACCUGACAUGGGAAAAUGUGUUUAGAUUUCCCUUAAACAGAGAGUUAAGGUCUGCCUGUACAGUGGGAGUCUCCUGGCCAGUGAGUUACUGGCUAUGAGGUUUCAAAAUGAGAAUCUGGUAUAAAUACAUAAUUCGAUAGAUGGUUUAGCAUCCUACUCGGAGCAGGCAUUAAACGUUUAAAUCAGAAAUGUAGAAUGGCACAGCAGAGUGGCUUACAGUGCCAAAAUACAAAGACUAGCUACAGCAGAAGGUAUGUAACACAAAUGAUACUCUAUCCUGAUAUUUGCCAUCAGCCCUUGCCUAGAGACUUGGUUAUUGAAGCACAUUAAACAUGACAUUAAGCAGGACUGACUUCUUCUAGCUGAAUACUUUAUCUGCAAGCAUAUAACUGUUUUCUAGCCCAAAUUGGGCUACUUACUCCAUUUUUUUACUGCUUUUUUUUUUUUUUUUAAGAGAAAACCAGCUUCAUCUAGAAAGGAAGCUUCUGCUCCUUGCUGUUAUUCCAGGAUUCUGAGAAACAGGAUUCUUGUAUGCUUGUUAAAAUGGCAAGAGCCAUGGGUAGAGAGAGUAAGGGAAAUGAACUUGCUUCUCAUGUGCUAGAUAAGCAGCAGCAUUGCCAUUUUAGAAGAAAAUAGUAGUUGCUUUUCUAUGUGACAGACUUGACUUGUAGGCUACACGUAGUCUGAAACUCUCUGCCAUAUUGCCAGAAGGUAUCAAAUAGCUUUAAGCAAUUGGUUUAAUGUGCAUCAGUUUCUCUGAUUCUAAAACAAAUACAGUGAUGCUUCCAAUGUAAAGUGGCUAUUGAUCCAGUUCCUGUGCUUGAAAAAACCUACACAACUGGACAGACUGUCUUGUUCAGUAUAUGCUUUUGCCCUUAGUGCUUAAAACUAAAUGCUAUGUCUUGAUUGAUGCGGGAUGUCAUCUCCUAGCUGUUGAGUAUGAUGAUGUGCUUCUUGUGUUCAGCACUGAAAAGUAUCCUUCCAAGUACUUCUGCUUCUGUAAUGUAGUAGAAAUAUGAAAUCACCUAUUUCACCAUGAGGUGAAAUGAUAUAUUAAUAUUUUAAUAGAUAGUGCUUUGAAAACAGCAUGCUGUAAAUACAUCAUUAGGUGUUUCCCUCAGAGCACAAAUGAAUUGAAGGAGGACAAAAAUGUAUCCCUUCUGUGCCUUUGCUGCUUUUUCUAGAUCUUAAACAGCAGCAGAAUGUUGUAGAUGUGAAGUUAUUGCCAAAAGCAUUUUUCAGAGGGGGAAAAAAGGAAGAAAAUAUGUUUUUUGGGAUACAGUAUGACUUAUAGAAGGAGUUCAGGUCUGCCCACACUAUGCCAUAACUUGUAGUGCAGAGAGGCCAGAGAUGUUGCUCCUUCAAAAGAAGAUACACAGUUGUCCUGCUGAGCCUGUCAGCUCGGUGCCCUUUGCUUCACCUUUCAUUAAGCCCUGUAGCGCACAGCCCAUGCAAUCCAGUUCUGGAAUUGUUUACAGUACAUGCCUCGUGUUUCAAGACCUUUAUCUUCAGAAUUGAGUGAGUUUCAUGAGGUGAACUGAAUUUUCCACAAAGUAACUUGAACAUUGAAAUUCUGGAAUUUUCAAUACUAGAGAUUGUGUUGCGUUUAGUAAAAGUAAAUUUACCCAGCAUGAGAAAAAUCUCUCCCUAAUUGUCACUUCUUGUCAUCCUGCAGGCUAUUCCACUUUUUUGCAGAGAUACCUAUAGAUAGUUUGUGAACUUCAUAAGCUAGUAGCUGAAAUUCACUGAAUCUAGACACCUACCUUUUUCAGAAUUCAUCCCAUAAACCAGCUUUAAAUAGUAUUUGCUAAUCAGGACAGUAUUUGCAUAAAUUUGACUUAAUGGGGAUGUAUCAGGUACAAAGUUAUUAACUGGAUCGAAAGCAGGUGUUAAAAUAGCUGUGUUUCCCUAAUGCCUCAUUUUCAAAUAUCAAAGUCCAGAAAUAAAUGGGGUUCCAGUUAGAGUUGUUGAGUUGAGAAUUUCUGAUUCAUAAAAAGGCUUGGUGCUUCAGAUGUUUUCAAGCUCUUAAGAAAAAGUUAAAUAUACAUAUAUAUACAUAUACAUACAUACACACACACACAUGUAUAUAUAUGUAUAUAACUUCCUGGGAAAUGGACAUUUCAGUAAUGUUUCUGAAACGUGGCUCUUCCAAGUUGGCUGCCCAUGGUGCAGUGUCUGGGCAGCCCACAGGAUCAGAUAAUGUGGUACCUGUGAUCCUUGGCUGGCAGAGAAUGGCAGAACCUGAAAAGCUGACCAUAAUCACUGUGUUUCAGCAAAUGCUUCAGAUGCAAUUUCUAUGACAAACUUAAGAAACCUUGAGGUAUGAGCCUGUCACCCUGUCUACCCUUGACAGGGUGGAGAGAAACAGACAUUUGUGAAAGUGGCUUGCCGUGUUCUCAGACAGGUGCCUGACUGGGGUGAGCUGAAUUACUGUCUGGAAGGGCCUGCCUUAGAAGGAGGGGAAUGACUUCCUUGAUAGUUUGUGUCUCCUAAUUGAGAAUAAAGUGUAGAGAGGGUGCCUGUCUUCUACCCAAAUGUUAAAAGACAUUUAAGAAAAGAAUUCUCAGUGUUGUUUUGAUUAAUGAGAUUUUUUUCAGCAAUUUUACUUUGUGUAGGAUAAUUCCUGCCCAGCUUUAGUGCUGGUAUUUUCAAUCAGAAAAAAAAA
ensembl:lncRNA